UACGUAGGGUGCAAGCGUUGUCCGGAAUUAUUGGGCGUAAAGAGCUUGUAGGCGGUUUGUCGCGUCUGCUGUGAAAUUUCGGGGCUCAACCCCGAACUUGCAGUGGGUACGGGCAGACUAGAGUGUGGUAGGGGAGACUGGAAUUCCUGGUGUAGCGGCGAAAUGCGCAGAUAUCAGGAGGAACACCGGUGGCGAAGGCGGGUCUCUGGGCAACAACUGACGCUGAGGAGCGAAAGCGUGGGGAGCGAACAGG
rnacentral:rRNA from 1 species